rnacentral:rRNA from 1 species
GGGGAAUAUUGGACAAUGGACGAAAGUCUGAUCCAGCGACGCCGCGUGGAGGAAGAAGUCCUUCGGGAUGUAAACUCAUGAAGCUAACGAAUAAGACGGAAGGGGAACCUUCCGGGAGAAGGUAAUUAGUGAAAAGCCCCGGCUAACUACGUGCCAGCAGCCGCGGUAAUACGUAGGGGGCGAGCGUUGCCCGGAAUUACUGGGCGUAAAGGGAACGUAGGUGGCUCUUAAAGUCAGGUGCGAAAAUAACGAAGCUUAACAGGUUAAUGCGCCUGAGACCAAAGGGCUUUAUGGCAAUACAGGGAAAUGGAAUUACCUGUUUUGGGGUGAAUUCCUCAGAUAUAGGUAAGAAGUCCAGUGGAGAAGCCGAUCUCAUGGGUUGAGUCUGACAGUGAGGUUCGAAAGCUACGGGAGCAAACC